rnacentral:misc_RNA from 1 species
GAUGAAGAACGUAGCGAAAUGCGAUAAGUAAUGUGAAUUGCAGAAUUCAGUGAAUCAUCGAAUCUUUGAACGCACAUUGCGCCCGCCAGUAUUCUGGCGGGCAUGCCUGUUCGAGCGUCAUUUCAACCAUCAAGCCCCAGGCUUGUGUUGGAGCCCUGCGGCUGCCGCAGCCUCCCAAAACCAGUGGCGGGCUCGCUAUCACACCGAGUGCAGUAGUUUACUCUUCGCUCAGGGCGUGUGGCGGGUGCUAGCCGUGAAACCCCCAACUUCUCAAGGUAGACCUCGGAUCAGGUAGGAAUACCCGCUGAACUUAAGCAUAUCAAUAAGCGGAGGA